rnacentral:rRNA from 1 species
CACGUAGGGUGCGAGCGUUGUCCGGAAUUAUUGGGCGUAAAGAGCUCGUAGGCGGUGUGUCGCGUCGGCCGUGAAAACCUGCAGCUUAACUGUGGCUUGCGGUCGAUACGGGCAUCACUGGAGUUCGGCAGGGGAGACUGGAAUUCCUGGUGUAGCGGUGAAAUGCGCAGAUAUCAGGAGGAACACCGGUGGCGAAGGCGGGUCUCUGGGCCGAUACUGACGCUGAGGAGCGAAAGCGUGGGGAGCGAACAGG